CCUACGGGGGGCAGCAGUGGGGAAUAUUGGACAAUGGGGGGAACCCUGAUCCAGCGACGCCGCGUGAGUGAAGAAGUAUUUCGGUAUGUAAAGCUCUAUCAGCAGGGAAGAAAAUGACGGUACCUGACUAAGAAGCCCCGGCUAACUACGUGCCAGCAGCCGCGGUAAUACGUAGGGGGCAAGCGUUAUCCGGAUUUACUGGGUGUAAAGGGAGCGUAGACGGUGCAGCAAGUCUGAUGUGAAAGGUCGGGGCCCAACCCCGGGACUGCAUUGGAAACUGUUGAACUGGAGUACAGGAGAGGUAAGCGGAAUUCCUAGUGUAGCGGUGAAAUGCGUAGAUAUUAGGAGGAACACCAGUGGCGAAGGCGGCUUACUGGACUGUAACUGACGUUGAGGCUCGAAAGCGUGGGGAGCAAACAGGAUUAGAUACCCCAGUAGUC
rnacentral:rRNA from 1 species